AAGUACGAGAUGUUGACGUUUGUUCUUAUGAAAGAGUCAAAUUAUUUUAAUUCAGAAACAUAAAGAAAGAAACCAAAGAAUACAGAUAAUGUUUGUUUAGGGAGAGCAGCUGGUUUGAUAAUCUGUUAAUAGUUUUACUCAUUUUUUAAGUCCCCAGUGAAAUUAGUUUUUAUUUAAAUGAAAUCUAUUUGGACAAAAUAAGUCACUUGAAGAUGUCUGCUUUUGACUUUUUGACAUUUCACAGAGCAAAUAAUUAGAAAACAAGAAGAAAAUAAUAAGAAAAUGAGAAAAAAUAGUAAGAUAAAAUAAUAAAUAACUCCUAACAGAGAAAUUAAAAUGACAAUCAGGUGCACAAAUGGAAAUAAAUAUAUUUUUAAUGAUAAAAAUAAAUAGUAAGAAUACACAUUGCAGAGAAAAUAAAGACAGAAACUAACUAAUGAGAACUAUUAAUAGUAAAGAAUCUUUAUAAUGACUCCCUGCUGUAAUAGCAGUAAUCUAUCCGCUGUGACUGUUUAUGAGUGCUGCUUAUGUUCUCAGCUGUACUGUAGUGAACUUACAUAUGUGCAGCUCUGCUUUUACUUUGAAGGCUCUGACCGGAAGUGUGAGCAGUAGCUUUGUGCAGCUUGACGUCAUCGUCCUGCAGCCGCCUGUUGAACGGAGGCAGCGCGCGGAGGUCGGCUCAGUUCCCGGGAAGAGACUGAUGGCGGAGCAGCGGGACUGACGGCGGUCUGCGGAGGUGAGUCCACACUGACACAUUGAGGCUUUUAGUCCGUCUGUCGGUCUGAACCGGAUCAGACACCGAGAGGAAGAACCGGUUCCUCAAAGCAAACUUUAAUGUUCUGAAAGUGUCUCAGAGAGUCCGGAGAAAGGGUUCAGUGUACCUGGAGCUGCAGGUCCAGCUGGUUCAGUCUGUAAAUAGACCUACAGGUAGUCCAGGGGCUCACAUGUGGAUCCGGUGGCUGUUUGAGGGCUGGUCGGAACCACAGGGGUCCACCGGUACCUGGUUUAGGUUUUAUAGGUGGACCUGCAGGGACUCAGGUAUACAGGUACAGGUGGGUAGGUUGGGGUCUGUGGACCUACCGGGGUUUAAGGGUUCUGGCAGAAGUUACAAAGACCAGCAUGCAACUGUGAUUUCCUCUGAUUGAUCCUGAGAGGUUCGAUACGAGGGGACUACAAAGACCAGCAUGCAACUGUGAUUUCCUCUGAUUGAUCCUGAGAGGUUCGAUACGAGGGGACUUUAGGGGAGUUUCCCUUUGACACCAGUUUCUAUUGAACAGUUUGCAACCAGAGGCUUCAAUCACAAACUGUAGAAUAAUAUAAAAGACCCAACAGUUCCCACCACGAGCAAGCACCUGGAGACAGCGGCAAGGAAACUGCACUGUUAGCCACUAGCUAACGUUAGCUUAGAAAUGGAGUCCGCUAACGUCUACAGACGACCGACGACAGAGUCCAAAGUCAGAGCUAACAUUAAUGCUAAGCUAGUGGAACAUAUUGUCUGAUUGUGCUUUUAGUUGGCUAACGUUAUCCAUGAUACUAACUUAUGUAUUCUGUUGAUGUUAGCCAACAAUAAAUGAUGUAGCGGUUCAAAGCUAACGAUAGCUUCCUAUUAGCCAAGAGUGAUGUGAGGGAGGGGCAUCCAGCUAGCUAACUGUAGCUAAGCUAACUGGGGUUGUCCAGCUGGCUGUAUCUUGGUGUUGCAUUGUGGGUCUGGUGUUGGUUGCUUCGUGCUGAUGGCUGAUUUGUAAACAGCGAGCUAGUUAUUAGCAUGGAGCUAACGGUCCAAAUAAAAUAUAGGAACAUUGCAGAUAGUAACGUUAUUCUAAAUAUGAUCGUCAGUUAUUUUACAGCGUUCAGUGUUUGUCUCUGUUGGCCGACGCCCAGGAUGCAGUUCACUGAACGACCACUGGUGGCGCUGUUAGCUACAGUUCACUGAACGACCACUGGUGGCGCUGUUAGCUACAGUUUAAUGAACGGCCACUGGUGGCGCUGUUAGCUACAGUUUAAUGAACGACCACUGGAGGCGCUGUUAGCUACAGUUUAAUGAACGACCACUGGUGGCGCUGUUAGCUACAGUUUAAUGAACGACCACUGGAGGCGCUGUUAGCUACAGUUUAAUGAACGACCACUGGUGGCGCUGUUAGCUACAGUUUAAUGAACGACCACUGGUGGCGCUGUUAGCUACAGUUUAAUGAACGACCACUGGUGGCGCUGUUAGCUACAGUUCACUGAACGACCACUGGUGGCGCUGUUAGCUACAGUUUAA
rnacentral:lncRNA from 15 species